rnacentral:tRNA from 1 species
AGAGGGAGGCUCAGUGGUAGAGUGUGUGCUUAGCAUGCAUAAGGUCCUGGGUCUAAUCCUCAGUACCUCUG